rnacentral:tRNA from 1 species
GAGGGUAUAGGUCAGUGGCAGAGUGUGUGCCUAGCAUGCACAAGGUCCUGGGUUCAAUCCCUGGUACCUACA